UGGGGAAUAUUGCACAAUGGGCGAAAGCCUGAUGCAGCGACGCCGCGUGAGGGAUGACGGCCUUCGGGUUGUAAACCUCUUUCAGCAGGGACGAAGCGCAAGUGACGGUACCUGCAGAAGAAGCACCGGCUAACUACGUGCCAGCAGCCGCGGUAAUACGUAGGGUGCAAGCGUUGUCCGGAAUUACUGGGCGUAAAGGGUUCUUAGGCGGUUUGUCGCGUCGUUUGUGAAAACCCGCAGCUCAACUGCUGGCUUGCAGGCGAUACGGGCAGACUUGAGUACUGCAGGGGAGACUGGAAUUCCUGGUGUAGCGGUGAAAUGCGCAGAUAUCAGGAGGAACACCGGUGGCGAAGGCGGGUCUCUGGGCAGUAACUGACGCUGAGGAACGAAAGCGUGGGUAGCGAACAGG
rnacentral:rRNA from 1 species